GAGUUUGAUCCUGGCUCAGAACGAACGCUGGCGGCAGGCUUAACACAUGCAAGUCGAACGCCCGAGCAAUCGGGAGUGGCAGACGGGUGAGUAACACGUGGGAACAUACCCUUCGGUUCGGAACAACGUUUGGAAACGAACGCUAAUACCGGAUACGGCUUGAGGGCGAAAGAUUCAUCGCCGAAGGAUUGGCCCGCGUUCGAUUAGCUAGAUGGCGGGGUAACGGCCCACCAUGGCGACGAUCGAUAGCUGGUCUGAGAGGAUGGCCAGCCACAUUGGGACUGAGACACGGCCCAAACUCCUACGGGAGGCAGCAGUGGGGAAUAUUGGACAAUGGGCGCAAGCCUGAUCCAGCCAUGCCGCGUGAGUGAUGACGGCCUUAGGGUUGUAAAGCUCUUUCGCACGCGACGAUAAUGACGGUAGCGUGAGAAGAAGCCCCGGCUAACUUCGUGCCAGCAGCCGCGGUAAUACG
rnacentral:rRNA from 1 species